UUGGGGUACCGGAGGGUCAUCCAGCCAGCAGCUCCGGCUCUGAGAUGGGUUCCCUCCAUGACUUCAGGGAAUUGAUUUUUUGCCUCAGCUUUCUGCCCUGUCUGCAACGCAUGCAGGAUGACGUGCAUUGCCUUACGAGAGCCGGCUGCUGUGUGUGCUGAGGAUCAGCCGUGCUGCAAAGUGCUGCAUUCCUGAUAGAAACCUGUGCGCCUUCUUGCCAGUUACCUUCACUUAACACAGCGCUCUUUGCAGUCUGUCCAUCCAGCAGAGCCUGUGCCCUUUGCUUUGUCUCAGCACAGCCGUCCCAAGGAGCUCCUUGGGGUCAGUCAGUGUGCACUGCUGCUUUCUGUCAUCUUUUGUUGCAAAAUAGAGGAUGAGUUGAUUCAAAUAAAAGGUUUUCUUUACGUUGCUGAGGAUCUCAGAGGUCUUUCAAACACAUUUAGCAGUUGAAAAACGAAUACCUACCGCGAUGCUCUCCAACAACACAGAGAAAUGGGUGCUCAGUGAUCUCACAGCUGUGAGCAGAGGCACAGUGGGGCCUCACCAUGCAGCUCUCCUGUCCGUGCUGGUUGGUUUCCUCCCUUGCUGUGAGCAGUUUGGCUUCCCCGGGUGUGUGAAAUGGGUGGAGAAAUGGCCCUGUAAUUUGUUUUGUGGGGGAGAACUCAUCUGUUAGAAUGCACCGAGGCAUCUGAUCAUAGAUAAGAGUGUUGUCAUGGAGAGGUGUCACUUAAAGCUUUCAUUGUAAUUGGUGGCAAUUGGUGAUGAGGCAGUUUGGGUAUUGGAACAUCUCUGGGAGGCGGUGGCUCAGGUGGCAGUGUGUGCCAUAAGCAUUGCUGUGUCGGUGUAGGAGACUGCUGGGAGCAGCGUUGUGCAAAUACACCCUUUGCAUAUUGAAUACCACCUGUUCAAAUGAAAAACAAAACUAUUGUGCUGUUUGGGAUUCCUUCUCAAAAUAAAGUUCUAAUAAACGAAUCCAGUGCAUU
rnacentral:lncRNA from 7 species